UGGAGGACUGAGAAGGUUGGGCAGCUGUAUACCAGUGCUACCUCAACUGGUUAUAGCCUCCAAGAUCAAAUCUCAGGUACAGUAGCUCAGCCUGAAAGCCUUUGGAGGUAGGCUGUGUGCUGUAUGUG